GCCUGGGUAGCUCAGUCGGUAAAGCAUCAGACUUUUAAUCUGAGGAUCCAGACUUCAAAUCCCUGUUAAGCU
rnacentral:tRNA from 1 species